GAAUUUUGGACAAUGGGCGAAAGCCUGAUCCAGCAAUGCAGCGUGCAGGAUGAAGGCCUUCGGGUUGUAAACUGCAUUUGUACGGAACGAAAAGAUUUGGGGUAAUACCCUGGAGUCAUGACGGUACCGUAAGAAUAAGCACUGGCGAACUACGUGCCAGCAGCCACGGUAAUACGAAGGGUGCAAGCGUUAAUCGGAAUUACUGGGCGUAAAGCGUGCGCAGGCGUUUUUUUAAGACAGAGGUGAAAUCCCCGGGCUCAACCUGGGAACUGCCUUUGUGACUGCAAGGCUAGAGUACGGCAGAGGGGGGUGGAAUUCCGCGUGUAGCAGUGAAAUGCGUAGGUAUGCGGAGGAACACCGAUGGCGAAGGCAACCCCCUGGGCCUGUACUGACGCUCAUGCACGAAAGCGUGGGGAGCAAACAG
rnacentral:rRNA from 1 species